AUUGAACGCUGGCGGCAGGCUUAACACAUGCAAGUCGAGCGGGGGAAGGUAGCUUGCUACCGGACCUAGCGGCGGACGGGUGAGUAAUGCUUAGGAAUCUGCCUAUUAGUGGGGGACGACAUCUCGAAAGGGAUGCUAAUACCGCAUACGUCCUACGGGAGAAAGCAGGGGAUCUUCGGACCUUGCGCUAAUAGAUGAGCCUAGUCGGAUUAGCUAGUUGGUGGGGUAAAGGCCUACCAAGGCGACGAUCUGUAGCGGGUCUGAGAGGAUGAUCCGCCACACUGGGACUGAGACACGGCCCAGACUCCUACGGGAGGCAGCAGUGGGGAAUAUUGGACAAUGGGGGGAACCCUGAUCCAGCCAUGCCGCGUGUGUGAAGAAGGCCUUAUGGUUGUAAAGCACUUUAAGCGAGGAGGAGGCUACUCUAGUUAAUACCCAGGGAUAGUGGACGUUACUCGCAGAAUAAGCACCGGCUAACUCUGUGCCAGCAGCCGCCGUAA
rnacentral:rRNA from 1 species